rnacentral:rRNA from 1 species
AUUGAACGCUGGCGGCAUGCCUUACACAUGCAAGUCGAACGGCAGCACGGGAGCAAUCCUGGUGGCGAGUGGCGAACGGGUGAGUAAUAUAUCGGAACGUGCCCAGUCGUGGGGGAUAACGUAGCGAAAGCUACGCUAAUACCGCAUACGAUCUAUGGAUGAAAGCGGGGGAUCGCAAGACCUCGCGCGAUUGGAGCGGCCGAUAUCAGAUUAGGUAGUUGGUGGGGUAAAAGCCUACCAAGCCUUCGAUCUGUAGCUGGUCUGAGAGGACGACCAGCCACACUGGAACUGAGACACGGUCCAGACUCCUAUGGGAGGCAGCAGUGGGGAAUUUUGGACAAUGGGCGCAAGCCUGAUCCAGCAAUGCCGCGUGCAGGAUGAAGGCC